UUAAAGGAAGGAGUAGGUGGUUCUGGAGUC
rnacentral:piRNA from 1 species